rnacentral:rRNA from 1 species
CCUACGGGUGGCAGCAGUAGGGAAUAUUGCACAAUGGGGGCAAGCCUGAUGCAGCGAUGCCGCGUGUGUGAAGAAGUAUUUCGGUAUGUAAAGCACUUUCAGCAGGGAAGAAAUGACUGUACUUGAUUAAGAAGCUCCGGCUAACUACGUGCCAGCAGCCGCGGGAAUACGUAGGGGGCAAGCGUUAUCCGGAUUUACUGGGUGUAAAGGUAGCGUAGACGGCAGCGCAAGUCUGAAGUGAAAUCCCAGGGCUUAACCAGGGAACUGCUUCGGAAACUGCGCAGCUGGAGUGCAGGAGAGGGAAGCAGAAUUCCUGGUGUAGCGGUGAAAUGCGUAGAUAUUAGGAGGAACACCAGUGGCGAAGGCGGCUUCCUGGACUGUAACUGACGUUGAGGCUCGAAAGCGUGGGGAGCAAACAGGAUUAGAUACCCCAGUAGUC